GAUGAAGAACGCAGCGAAAUGCGAUACGUAAUGUGAAUUGCAGAAUUCAGUGAAUCAUCGAGUCUUUGAACGCACAUUGCGCCCCCUGGUAUUCCGGGGGGCAUGCCUGUCCGAGCGUCAUUGCUGCCCUCAAGCACGGCUUGUGUGUUGGGCCUCCGUCCUCCUCCCGGGGGACGGGCCCGAAAGGCAGCGGCGGCACCGCGUCCGAUCCUCGAGCGUAUGGGGCUUCGUCACCCGCUCUUGUAGGCCCGGCCGGCGCUUGCCGACACAUCAAUCUUUUUUCCAGGUUGACCUCGGAUCAGGUAGGGAUACCCGCUGAACUUAAGCAUAUCAAUAAGCGGAGGA
rnacentral:misc_RNA from 1 species